rnacentral:rRNA from 1 species
UACGGAGGAUGCGAGCGUUAUCCGGAUUUAUUGGGUUUGAAGGGUGCGUAGGCGGACUGUCAAGUCAGCGGUAAAAUUGAGAGGCUCAACCUCUUCCCGCCGUUGAAACUGGUGGUCUUGAGUGGAUGAGAAGUACGCGGAAUGCGUGGUGUAGCGGUGAAAUGCAUAGAUAUCACGCAGAACUCCGAUUGCGAAGGCAGCGUACCGGCACCCAACUGACGCUGAGGCACGAAAGCGUGGGGAUCAAACAGG